ensembl:misc_RNA 7SK 7SK RNA
GGGAGUGAGGAUGAUCCUCCUGGGACACCAGGCACCCCACUGAUGGCCUGGAUUGAUUUUGCUGAUCAAAUCAGCUGACCAGGUGUCUGCCUCCCUCCUCACCUUUCUGCAUGUGUCCUUCCUGGGGCAGCAUGCCAAGUCUUAGAGAAGGAGAGCCUUCCCAGAUAAAGCAUUGUUCUUUGACCAAAGGUGUGUGAUGACUUUGUCUGUUAUCUGGCAUUCUAAGAGAAUAUGAUAUUCUGGUUCAUCUUAUUGGAGUAACUAGAAUACUGAGCUUGAAUAUUAUAAAUUUUUGAGCAAAAUACAUUACACUAAAACGAAGUAAGUACGAUGUAAUCUUCUUUU